rnacentral:misc_RNA from 1 species
UGUUGACUCGGACAUGACGUCUUCCACCUGUAUGUUGUGUUUUCGCCGACGAUGCUUGGCAACGGGCUUGAGCUGAACUUGUCACUACUCGUCACUCUUGUGGCAGAUGUAAAUGGGUUAUUUUUUUCCAAGUUUUGUUUUUUUUUGACGAGGAAGAGGGAUAGCACUAGAUUUCCGGUAGUUUCGUCGUCUCUAUAAAUAGGGAGUUUCGAUUCGGCCAUCUUAGUUCAGUCGAGUUAGUGGUGCCAGAGCAGCGUGCGGUAAUUUUUGCCAGUUAAGUCAGGUUCGUUGAUUGCUGUGGCUCCCAGUUAAGGAGAAUCUAACCGGCGCUGUCACUAGUGGUAUUCCCCAUUUGAUUUGUUGAGGGGAAAUCCAUACUCAUUUGAGGAUUCGAAGCACGGGCCCCUACUCAUCUCAUUUGCCAGCCUUAACAUCGGCUCACUGGACUCAGAUGCUUUGACCGAGGGCUACCAACUCCAUCGGCAGCUAUCGAAGGAAGAAUUGCUGUUACCUAGAGGUUUUGCUAUUGCUGGAAUUAUUUGGCCAUACAGAGUGAUCACUGGUUUGCCCAAGGGUUCGCCUUACUUUGGGAAAUAAAUCAAGCCCCUUUCGGUUUAACACAACUUUAUUAAACCCGAUUAAUUCAUAAAUUGGUUCAUAAAUAUAGUCUACAAAACUAUACGUUGUACGUUGUAAUCACUACUAAAAGCUUAGUUCAAAUAUACCGGGGGAGUACUGCCGCGAGCUAUAAAUAGCACAUAAAAGAUACCGAUCGGCUAUUGCGCGCCAAAACCGGGAGCAAAGUUCAAGACGGAGAUUGACCGUAUGAAGGGCGACCGAGACCUACUUUUUACUUGUUCGAUGGACGACUUCAUACUGCCUACUUAUUGAUUGAUUUGGGGUAAGCGAGGGACGGCGACGCGCGUUAUUAAUACGUCUCAGUUAAAUUAUUUAAGUCCAAAGUUAGAGGGCGUCACUAUAUAUGUUUUUAAGCUUUUUUCUAUUAUUGUCCUUAUUACUAAAGUUGUGCUGGUCACAACACCACCGUUAAUGGUCCUGUCCCUUCCUUGAUCAGAGGCAAAUCCUGCAGAGAAAUUGAAAGGAGAUGGGUGAGCGUGUGGGAGAAAACGAACGAAUGGGGGAGAAUGAAUGGACUGUUAUACAACAGCGAGAAAACGGAAGCUUUUUUUGAACCUGCGGCGCGGAAAAUCAGGCCACCAGUUGUCAAGCUGGGGGAAGAAAGAGUGGAAUUAAGGGAAAGUAGUAAAUAUCUAGGGGUUCUUAUUGAUGGGAAAGGGCUCUUCUUAAACCAUCUGAAAAUGGUAAGGGCUAAGGUAGGGAAAAACAAUGGGGAAAAUAAGUGGGUUGCUAGAAAGAAAAGGGCUAAGGACUGGAGAAAUCACAAAAAUAUUUUACGAAAGGGUUUUUAAACCAGCUUUACUGUAUGGGGCAGAGGUGUGGGGCUUAAAAGGGAGUGACAGCAGAAACACAAGGCAACUGGAGGCAGCUCAAAGGGUGGCACUGAGGGGAAUGGGACCAUCCUAUACCACAGUGUCAACCAAAGCGCUGCAGGUUAUGCAUGGAUGCGCGCCGCUUUGGCUAGAGGCGGUGGCGCAAGCAAAAACGAGAAAGGAAGCAAAGGGCAAAGAUUGGGAGAACGAAUAAGAAUGAGAGAAUAAAAAUUAAUAAAAGAGUAAACUGCAUGGACGAGGGCAACAUGACGUAUGAAUGGAAAUUAUGGGUGGACGCGGCGCUGGGGCAAGAAUGCGUGGGACUGGGCUGAAUAGAAAGGGGAUUACGGACAGGGGAAUUUAUUAGUCAAGGGCAAAAUGAUUAAACCUAAAGGGGGAGUCAUUGAGGCCGAACUGGAAGCCCUCAAGCUCGGGAUCAGGAACAACCAUGGAAGUAAUGUCUGCUGGGGAAAGUGCGCUAGUGGUGACUGACUCGCAGAUAAUUGCUAGAACAGUCAACGACUACUCUUUUCAACGUAAAACAAUGAACGAAAAAAUAAAACAAUGUCAAAAAAUUAUAUGCAUGAGUGAGAGUGAACGUAAAUACAUACGCGUGAAAUGGGAAAGACUUAAGAGGGGAACGGAUGGGCGCGGCGCACAUGUGAGAGCAAGAGAAAUGAUGAGAGAAGGUGAAUAGGAGGCAAACGACUACGAAUGGAUGAGUAAAAAUGAGUACAAAAGGAUUAAAUAUGAAUGGAUAAUGAAAUAGAUGGAAUGAGGAAUGGAUGAGAAGCAUGAAAGGGAGAACCACGUUCGCGUUGUGUCCCCUGGCAGGCAGAGGCGUGCUCUGCCUAACAAAAAAGGAAGCACAACUCACAACGGGUCACGGGAAUUUUGACGCCUACAUUUAUAAGUACAAAAGAAAGGGUGCGUGGGAGUGUAAGUGCGGAAUGUAUGAACACAGAACGAAUGCAAGAUGUGAGGACACGGCAGAGCAUGCUAGGAAGGAGUGCAAUCUAGAGGAGCGAAUGAGAGGGAGAGAAAGAUGCAAAAGGGAAAAAGGGAAUAUAAUCUUCCAGUUAAGAAAAGAUAACGGUGAAACAGAUAGAGAAGAAGUUAGACACUUCAAUCGUCUGGCCGAGUUAGUUGUCCCCGACGAUAACUUCGAUUAGAAAAAGGGUUAAAAAUAAUAAAAAAUCAAAAUAAAAAAAAAGAGGGAAAAUAUUUGAAUAUAAGACAUAAACCUAGAUUAAGAGAAUAGAUAAGAUUGAUAAGAUAAGAUAGGAAAGCUUGUAUACCGGGUGGUGCGUCGCCGAGCGGAACAUAGGAAAACCCAUGUAAAUUUUAAGAGGGUCAACUAUUGGCUUCCCUGUACAUUUUUUACAAAAAAUGUAAGAUAACUUUUUGAAGAGACCAAUCUGGCAAACCCUUGUGCAAAGUUUCAAAAAAUUUUAAUAAGCAAAUCUUGAAUUAUUGAAUUAAAUGAAAUUAUUGAAUCUAAAAAAAAAAGCCUAAAAAUCAAUUUCUGCAACAUCAGAGGCCUAAACACCAAUGUUAAUGCAGUACACCAACACCUGCAAUCAAAUAAGCCUCACAUUCUGGCAUUGACAGAAACAAAGGUGAAACCUUCAACAACAGAUGUUCACCUCAUUUAUCCUGGAUACGACCUACACACCCGAUUUCGACUAAACUUUGGAUUGGCAGUAUUUGUCAAGAAGGAUUUGAGUUGCCAGCGGGAGGAAACGCUUGAACCUGCGGACUUCGACGUCAUGUGGUUCAAAAUAAUAGCCAGUGGUGCCACGAAAUUUAUCUGCUGUAUCUACAGACCACCAAGCGACACCCAAUAUAGACGGCUCUUUUUGAACCUGGUUGAUUGCAUUAACCAUCUGCAAAUUGACUACCCAAGCGCAGAAAUCAUCGUCAUGGGUGAUUUUAAGGUUCACAAUAUCAACUGGCUGCGCUUCUGCAACAAGAACGACGAUGAAGAACGAGAAGCUGAGCUAUUUGCCACCAUAUGCGGUCUUACGCAGCUUGUGGAGGAACCUACCAGAAUCCCCGAUCGAGACGGCGAGUUCGCGAGUCUCCUAGAUCUGGUCUUGGCUUCAGACCCUGACUCGUACACAGUAUCAGUACAUGCCCCCCUAGAAACAUCGGACCACAAAUUGAUAACAGUCUCUUGCUAGUUGGAGGUUAAAUCGCAGGAUCCUCCGAUGCCGCGGAAGGUAUGGCACUAUAAAUCAGCAGAGUGGAACCAUCUUCGGGAAUUUUAUCGCUCAUUCCCUUGGAAAAAAGUCUGCUUUAGAACCAAUAACAUCUCAGAAUGUGCAAACCAAAUUACAGAGACGAAGCUUAUAUCCCUUUUUCUACUAAAUGCGGAUCAAACAACAAGCAAUGGUUCAACCUGAAUUGCAAAAAGGCAGUAAACACUAAAAACGCAGCAUAUCGCAAAUGGCGUCAACAUCCUUCCAUCGAAAAUCGGAGGAACUUUUUAUCCUCCAGAAAUAGCUGCAAGCGAAUUAUUGAUGAAUGCAAAGAGAGUCACAACAACAGGUUCAAAAACAAACUGCUAAACUGCCCAAAUGGAACAAGAUCUUUCUGGUCGGUAUCGAAAGCCGUUAGUCAAGGAUUUGCUAAGUCGGCCUUGCCACCCCUAACAGCAGAUGAUGGUUCUAUCGCGGUAACAGCAAGGGAAAAAGCCAACUUACUGGGUAAACUCUUCGCGUCCAAUUCUACUCUGCACUCGCAAGGCAAAACACCGCCACAUUUGCCAAGGGUGAAUUCAUCGAUGGGAGAAAUUUCGUUUCCCCAACGAAUUAUAAAUAAAAUUCUUAAAAGCGUAGACACCAACAAAGCUACUGGACCCGAUGGAAUUCCAGCUCUAAUACUAAAACGUUGUGCAGACGAAUUGACUCCUCCCUUAUGUAGACUGUUCACGGCAUCGUAUAAGCAGGGCCAAUUUUCAACAAGCUGGAAAACUGCUCGAGUGCAAGCUGUACCCAAAAAGGGUAAGAAGACGAUGCCCUCCAAUUACCGCCCGAUUGCACUAGUUCCAGUAAUAUCGAAGAUUAUGGAGAAAGCAGUCAACCAACAACUGUUAAGAUAUCCGGAAUCAUCUGGACUAAUCAGCGAUCAUCAAAACGGCUUCCGAAAGCUUAGAUCCACCGGCGAUCUUCUGGCCUACGUCACACACUUGUGGACGGAGGCCAUGGAGAAGCACGGCGAGUCCCACUCAGUCGCUCUUGACAUUUCCAAGGCAUUUGACAGAGUGUGGCAUGAGGAACUACUAACCAAGCUCUCCUCAAUCGGCAUACAAAACUCAUUAUUAAAUUGGAUCAAAAGUUUUCUUGAACAACGAACAAUCCAAGUAGCCGUCGAUGGAUACCUCUCCGACAAAUUUAACAUUAACGCUGGAGUCCCUCAAGGAUGCAUUCUAUCCCCCACCCUUUUCUUGGUAUAUAUCAACGAUUUGCUAGGAACCACUGUCAAUCCAAUCUACAGCUUUGCGGACGAUAGCACACUUAUUUCCACAUUUAAGUCCGCCAAACCAACGACAGCCGCAAGUUCUCAGAAUCUUAGGCAGCAACGAAUAGCUUCAACCAACAACGAUAUUAGACCAAUCUUGGAGUGGGGCGAUAACAAUUUGGUCAAUUUUAAUGCUAAAAAAACGCAGGCUGCAGUAUUUACGAUUACCUUGCUGACCCGGAGCUGGUUAUGGCAGGGAAAACAUUGCCAAUGAAAUCAUCUUUACAUCUUCUAGGAGUCGAGGUCACCAACAGUGUGUCCUGGCAUGACCACGUUGCCGAGAUCGCCAGGGCGGCUUCCAAAAAACUUGGAGUGCUUUUCAAAACGAAAAAACUGUAUACACCAGAACAGCUGCUGACUCUUUAUAAGGCUCAAAUACGCCCUUCCCUCGAUUAUUGCUCGCAUGUCUGGAGCUCUGCACCCAAGCAUAGUUUAAACCUGCUGGAUUCUAUACAGAAGAGAGCUAUUCGUCUUAUCGACAAACCAGAACUGACAAAGAGUCUGGAUAGCCUGGAGCACAGGAGAAAGGUGGCUGAUCUCUGUUUAUUCUACCGUUAUUAUCACGAUAAGUGCUCCUCUGAGCUGGCAGGCCUGAUUCCACCCAGGGCUGUUCCGGCAAGAAGGACGCGUCUAGCAGUUGCGGCUCAUCAACAUCGAGUCCACCUGCCUACCCCAAGGACGUCGCUGUAUCGGGACUCAUUCAUCUGGAGAACAUCUUCUUUGUGGAACGGGCUUCCACCUUACAUAUUUCCCGACGCAUACAACCUACAGCGAUUCAAGAUAAAUGCCCACAAAUAUCUUCGCGCAAGCACCACUCCAAGAGUGACAUAGGACUUUCCUCUUGUGCUUGUGUUUACCAUAAAAAAAAGGCUCUGUCAGCAAUAAUGCGUUGAGGUUUUCCUAAAUCUUCAAAAACUGGCAGUAAGAUAGAAAAGGACUUCCUGUAAUAAAACCGAUGAAAAAGAAGGCAUUGAAGGAUUUUCGAGCAGAUGGAGGGAAAAAUGUUCAAGUGAUUUCGUCUAUUUCAAUGGAUUUUUGGGAGAAAUUUAAAAAACCUGG